GUCCCCUCCCCUCCCCGAGUCCUGUCGCCGGGCGCCCGAGCGCAGCUCUGCAGCCACACGUCAGUCUCCCAGGUUCUCCGAGACCUGGGACACGUCACCCGUGCCACCCCUCUGUGACCCCUCACGUGCUGGACACGGGGCGACACACGGUUCUCUUAUUGGGGCUCACGGGCAAAUGCGGUGACUUCGGUCUCUGCACACCCGCCCUCUGAUCCACGCCCUCCCGUCACCCCCGAUUUCUGCCAAUGCGAACGGGGUGGAACCCGAAGGUGUCUUCUCCCCCCUCCCCCGCGGUCCUGCCCCCCGGGGGGGCUGACCAGCCCCUAUGCAAACCUCGUCCGUGUUAAAUUGCACAAAACAAUGAAUGGCUGUCUCAUUGUCUUCACCUAAAUUCCUGCCUACUUCCCAAAAAACCGCAGCUUCCACUGAAUCCGGAGAGGAUUUUAACUUGAAGUUUAACACGUUUCGUUUCUUCCCUUCUGAUCUCAGGGCAGGAUGUGAACCCCGACUUCCACCUCAGCCUCUUUCCAGCCUCCCCAUUUCAAACCACGAUUCGAAGUCCCCCUAACGGACCAGGAUGCUUCUCUUCCCUUCUACACCUGCUCUUUCUUCUGGGAAAUUUGCACUCUGACAUCAAAGUCUGUCGCAAUCCCUGUUAGCCUGGUGGCAUCCAUCCCGUGCUUUUAUUAACCUGGCCUGAAAGAAAGUGACAAGAGAACAAACCGUGCAGAGACAGGGGACAGAGGCAGAAGGGACACAACACCCACUGGAGGUCCACGUCUACACGGGCGAGCAGAGAACACAGGGCCUGGAACUUCACGGGCAAGUACAGAAGAUACAUUGCCUUAUUUAAAUGUUAGCACAUAAUGUACCGUUUAGACUAAUUAUAAGGUCCCGUGGGGUUGCUCGCAUAAAUGUCAACUAUAUUACAACAAUUUCGCAAGGUUUUAAAGAGCAAAGUGGAACGAUACGGUUUUAAGGCUUUUACGCAGUACACGAAGUGGUAGAGUAUCAUAUGCAGGUAAACUUGAAAAGUUAAAAAUGCAGGCGAUAACCCCAAAAUC